AUUGAACGCUGGCGGCAGGCCUAACACAUGCAAGUCGAACGGUAGCACAGAGAGCUUGCUCUCGGGUGACGAGUGGCGGACGGGUGAGUAAUGUCUGGGAAACUGCCCGAUGGAGGGGGAUAACUACUGGAAACGGUAGCUAAUACCGCAUAACGUCGCAAGACCAAAGUGGGGGACCUUCGGGCCUCACACCAUCGGAUGUGCCCAGAUGGGAUUAGCUAGUAGGUGGGGUAAUGGCUCACCUAGGCGACGAUCCCUAGCAGGUCUGAGAGGAUGACCCGCCACACUGGAAGUGAUACACGGUACAUACUCCUACGGGAGGCAGCAGUGGGGAAUAUUUCACAAUGGGCGCAAUCCAGAUGCAGGCAUGCCGCGUAUAUGAAGAAGGCCUUCGGGUUGUUGAGUACUUUCAGCGGGGAGGAAGGCGGUGAAGUUAAUAACUUCACCGAUUGACGUUACCCGCAGAAGAAGCACCGGCUAACUCCGUGCCAGCCGCCGCAGUAA
rnacentral:rRNA from 1 species